GCGUGAGGAAGGAGGAAAGCUGCAGAGUUCAGCUGCGAGUCUGUAGGUUCGUACACCGGAUGGCGACUUGCAGACCUGGGCCAACUUUGGACCAAUCAAGAAGGGCCUCAAGAUGUUCAUCAUGUCCUCCAGGCUCAUCUGCUCCAUCCUAUCCAGGAAACCAAAGGCCUGUGGGGACACCGAGGCCCUCUUACUGCAGCUGGACCACUACCCUGGGCAGGAGAGUGUUCGCAGCCCUGUGCCUCUAAACUCGUUACAGAGCAAGUGUGGCCAAAUUCCCAAGUCCACAGACCCAAAUUGAGAUAACCUUCAAAUUGAAUCCUGCCUGGGCAAUACCUGAGCAGCAAAGCAAAGGUCUCUUCUAAAAAAAAAAAAAAAGAAAAGAAAAGCCAACCACAGAAUGGAACAAAUAUUUGCAAAUCAGAUAACUGAUAAGGGACUGGUAUCCAGAAUAAAUAAAGAACCCUUACAACUCAACAAGAAAAAGACAAAUAAUCAAAUAUAAAAAUGACCAAGGAUUUGAAUAGACAUUUCUCCAAAGAAGAUAAAAUAUGGCCAGUAAGCCAUGAAAAGAUAAUCAACAUCUUUAGCCAUUAAAGAAAUGCAAAUCAAAACAAGAUACCACUUCCCAACCACUUACAUGGCGAGAAUCAAAACAAGAAAGAAUAAGAAGGGCUGGGCAGGAUGUGGAGAAAUUGGAACCUCACACACUCGCUGGUAGGAACGCAAAAUGGUGCGGCCCAUUUGGAAAGCAGUCAGCAGUUCCUCAAAUUAAACAUAGCGUUAGCACAUGACCCUGCAAUUGCCCUUCCAGGUCUGUAAGCAAUAGAGAUGAAAACACACGUUUUCAAAACAGCUUGCAAGUAAAUAUUCAAUCAGGAUCAUCCAUUAAUAGCAAAAAAAGUGAAAACACCAAAAUGUCUACGAGCUAUUGAGUGGAUAUGCAAAACGUGACAGCAUAUUCAGCCACCAAGAGAGGUGAAGUACUGAUACUUGCUACAACACAGAUGAACCGUGAAAAUACCAUGUUCAGUGAAAAAAGUCAGACACAAAAAGUCACAUGCAUAUGAUCCAUUUCUAUGAAUUGUGCAGAAUGGGAAAAUCCAUAAAGUUGAUGGAAAAUAGAUUAGCAGUUGCCAGGGUCUGAGGGAGGGAGACUAGGUAUGAGCCUCCUUUUUAGGGUGAUGCAAAUGUUCUGCAAUAAGAUAGUGGUGAUGGUUGUACAAUUUUGUAAAUAAACAGAAUCCUGGAGCUGUAAACUUGA